GGGGGGGGGGGGGGGGGGGGGGUGGGGGUGCGGGGCGGGCGGUAGCGGGCGGGGAGGUGCGGAGGGGGGGCGGGCGGGGGGGUAAUGCGUCGGAACGUGCCCAGUCGUGGGGGGUAACUACUCGAAAGAGUAGCUAAUACCGCAUACGAUCUAUGGAUGAAAGCGGGGGACCGUACGGCCUCGCGCGCUUGGGGCGGCCGAUGUCAGAUUAGGUAGUUGGUGGGGUAAAGGCUCACCAAGCCAACGAUCUGUAGCUGGUCUGAGAGGACGACCAGCCACACUGGGACUGAGACACGGCCCAGACUCCUACGGGAGGCAGCAGUGGGGAAUUUUGGACAAUGGGCGCAAGCCUGAUCCAGCAAUGCCGCGUGCAGGAAGAAGGCCUUCGGGUUGUAAACUGCUUUUGUACGGAACGAAACGGCUCUGGUUAAUACCCGGGGCUAAUGACGGUACCGUAAGAAUAAGCACCGGCUAACUACGUG
rnacentral:rRNA from 1 species